GGAGGAGUUGGUGGCUUGUAUGGUUUCUUAGGUGGUGGGGGUGGUGAGUAAACUGGUGGCUUGUAGACUGGUGUGGGUGGUGGGGGAGACUUGUAGUGGUAAGGCUUCUUGGGUGGUGAUGGUGGUGGUGGAGACUUGUAGUGGUAUGGGUGCUUAGGUGGUGAAGGUGAUGGUGGUGGGGGAGACUUGUAGUGGUAGGGGUGCUUAGGUGGUGAUGGUGAUGGUGGUGGUGGAGACUUGUAGUGG